rnacentral:rRNA from 1 species
UCGAGCGGAUGAGAGGAGCUUGCUCCUGGAUUCAGCGGCGGACGGGUGAGUAAUGCCUAGGAAUCUGCCUGGUAGUGGGGGACAACGUUUCGAAAGGAACGCUAAUACCGCAUACGUCCUACGGGAGAAAGCAGGGGACCUUCGGGCCUUGCGCUAUCAGAUGAGCCUAGGUCGGAUUAGCUAGUUGGUGAGGUAAUGGCUCACCAAGGCGACGAUCCGUAACUGGUCUGAGAGGAUGAUCAGUCACACUGGAACUGAGACACGGUCCAGACUCCUACGGGAGGCAGCAGUGGGGAAUAUUGGACAAUGGGCGAAAGCCUGAUCCAGCCAUGCCGCGUGUGUGAAGAAGGUCUUCGGAUUGUAAAGCACUUUAAGUUGGGAGGAAGGGUUGUAGAUUAAUACUCUGCGAUUUUGACGUUACCGACAGAAUAAGCACCGGCUAACUCUGUGCCAGCAGCCGCGGUAAUACAGAGGGUGCAAGCGUUAAUCGGAAUUACUGGGCGUAAAGCGCGCGUAGGUGGUUUGUUAAGUUGGAUGUGAAAUCCCCGGGCUCAACCUGGGAACUGCAUCCAAAACUGGCAAGCUAGAGUAUGGUAGAGGGUGGUGGAAUUUCCUGUGUAGCGGUGAAAUGCGUAGAUAUAGGAAGGAACACCAGUGGCGAAGGCGACCACCUGGACUGAUACUGACACUG